GGGUCCUAGUAGAUUCUAAAAAACAUAGUGGGUACCCUGGACACGAUAAGCAGUCGAGGACCUUCCCUUGCUAGACUUAAAACAGCUCAAGGCCGAGUUCACCACAAAGAUUAUACAAGCCGAAGACCCCAACGGGUCACUACUUUACCCAGAGCUACAACAGACUGUCGUAUCUUGGUGUGGUUUUCUAUUUUGGAAAAAAUGUGCCAAGUUUUAAACUCCCAAUCCGUGUCCAUGCCAUGGACCACGGUGAUCUAGACACACCCACGGGAACGGCAUAUAUCGCAUCGCUAGCUAAUCAAAGGUGGGAAUUUGGAUCAAAAGUUUUAUGGGAGGUGGUUAUAAUUCCUGGAAAAGGAUAUUUCCACCUCAUCCUACGCUACCAUCACUCACUCCUUGAUGGGUAUUCCAUGCUUAAAUUAUUGGAUAAAAUCAGUCACCCCAAGCUUAUUGAUCAGAUAGUGAAACCAAAAAUAUCUGCUGCAAAGACCACAAGAUUUACAAGUUUUCCCAUCCUCCUGGUCAAGAUCCCGUAUGAUGUCGCUCUAUAUUUCGAGGCUUAUCUAAGAACUUGGAUCACUACUGAGGACAUCUUUACCCCGACUUGUACCUCCACCUUGACUCGAACUUCCACCUUUGCACAAAGCCUAUCCCCUCUAAAUCUUCUCCAAAUGAAAAACUCAGCGAAGGCUGAAAGCCUUUCUUUCACAGCAUUUUUGUUCUCCAGCCUGACCAGUUCGAUAAGAAGGUUAGUUUUGAAAAGAGAUGGAAAAGUAGAGGGAAACAUUCUCUUCCAUUUUCCCAUGCCGGUUCCCAAUCAUCCCGCAAAACUGAGAAAUGCUGGACAAUGGGGUGGAUAGAACUACCAAUCCAAGAGAUUGACCUCACCACCAGGAUUAAACAAAUUGAAGAGCAACUAAGCAACUUGAAAAAUUCUACGAUGCCAAUUGUAAUGACGAUGCUGGGAACUCUUUGGUCCGCACAAUUACCACUAUUUCUCAGAUCUGUGAUCAAUUCAGGAUCCAAGGGGAGGACGAUAUUAUCAUUUUCUAAUUUUAUGUUCAAUCGCGCCCCUGAAAAUUUAUGGGACUCCUUUCAACACUGGGGGCAGCAAGGUUGUGUUAAUCGGAAUGUUCACCAGUGAAGAGGACGCCUGGUUAAGUACAACCGGUGACACGGGUAUCUUGAAAGCAAAUGUGGCACGAGAGAUUUUGGACGCGAUGGCGACAAAUGUAUCCUCAAAUGUUAAAGAGAAUCGUGAAGGGCAACAUAUAAAAGUGGGUUUAGCUGAUAAUUCAGAGUUUUGUUAAGCAAAAAUAUUUAUGGUGAAGAUAAUAAAUUCAGAUGUAUUAAUUUUCCACAAAUUUAAGGAGUACUUUUAUGGUACAAAAUUGCUACAUCGUUCUACAGUGGGUAAAUGAUGAGAAAUUAUUCAGAGUAUUUCCCAACAAUGUGAGCUCUAGAAAUUAUGUACAUAUUGAAACGAGUUCUAUAAUGGUGAUGCAAUACUUGGCAAUAAAAUGCAUAAAAGUUUCCCUUCUUUUAUUUAUUUUUCUAACUUUAGUCUACUAAAUAGAUUGGCAGCACAGCUGACAGCUCUUUACCUCUGGAUGAUGCAUCCACCCAGGUCUCCCUUGUGCAGUACUUCCAGUGCGCGGGUGUGGGUGGAGGUGCACUCCUAACUUGCAGAUAGUGGGAGGAGGAACAGAAUUCUGCAUGGGAGGACGACGGUUAAACAAAAUACGAGUAAAAAGUAAAGGCAGAAUGUUAAAUAUUGUUCUUCACCCAUACUAAGAUAGUUCCAGUCAUGAAGGUAUAAAAUUUAUAUUUUAAUUAUGUGGUGAAGUAUCAGGUUAUUUUGUUUGUGUGUUUUUUAA